AUAUAUAGCAUCCACAUAUUCUUCUUUAUUAAUCCACAGCCCUAAUGGGAUAUGUGAGCAGGAUAGCAUCUCCCUGGAGUUACCCUAGCCCGGUCAUGGAUCAAGAACUGACGCCGAUUAUCACCUUCAGAACUGCAGAUUGAAGCUUUAACUGUUUGUUGUGGAUUCUUGGUGACGACGGGAUGAUCGUAACUUGAGUUAAACCUACAGACGGGCCGGCCAUUGCUCAGGGUGGUGUUUUGUUUUGUCCAACAUCCAGGCCGUUCUCUUGCCCAAGAAGACCGAAAAGCCCGCCAAAACAUCUCCCAUCUUCAGGGCCACCAAAUUUAGUUUUGAGAAAAGUAAUUUGCCAAGUGCUAGGCUACAUUUCGUAUAUUUCAAUUUCAUUCUGGUUGUGGCAACGAUAAUGUGCACAAAUUUGCUGAUGCAUCGCGAAAUGGCACUCGUAAAUGAUUUUAUGUUAAUCUUAUCUG